CAUGCCUACCCGUGUGCGGAUGGCACCUCUGGCCUGUUUACCGAGCUGUGCAGGCGAGCGCCGGCGCCCUCUACUGGACGGAAGUAAAUGUCCCUCUGAGUGUAACUAUUGUCGCCUGUGGAUGAGCUAAUGGAUUCACUUUGAGCUCGUAGAAAGGACACGGUGUCGUGGGGAUCCCAGGCAGUCCUCUGACAUCUGACAUACCGCCAGCUUGCCUAAGGAUGUUAUUUCUUUGAGGGGGGCGUCAAGACACAAAACCUUUUCCUUUAAGGGAUUUGCUCACCCAGGAGGAGAUUUGAUGGUACUUACGGACUGGGGCUUCACUCCGCAUCUGCCUCUCCGUGAGAGCCUGUCUCCCCAGGCUGGCUGGUCCUCAGGACACAGGUGCUGCUGUUGUGGCUGCGUGCAUCCUAUGUGUGGCGACUCCACCUUCCAGCUAAAAUCCCAGCAAAGGGUCUCAUCCGGAGGCCCCGGGGCACACUUCUUUCAUCCGUGUGCCUUCCCUCUUUCUCUCGGGGUCCAGAGCAGCGAGGAAGGAAUGAAGAACCUGGGUCUGCCACCGUCUGUCGGUCCUCACCGCUGCAUCUCAGCUAAGGCUGCAGAAGUCAGUGCAGUAGCGGAACUGGCUAGGGCUCCUCGCGGUUGCCACGGUAACCAGGAGCAGGCUCCUGCCCUGGUGGCGGAGGAAGGCUGUGGAGAAAAGGUAACGGAUAAGCGAUGACGCGUUGGCCUCUCUCCUGGGCGUCGGUUGAGCCUCAAGUGACCCAAAUGAAACGAAGUCCCAGAUAACCCGUUCUCUAGACCCAAACCACACCACCGCCGUUGUCUUCUUUUUUCUCCUCUUCUCCCUCCCCAGUCUACACACAUAGGAGCAUCUUAAGGGUUAGAAAUUCCAGCACUAUGCAAGGCUUCCUGCCCCAGAGGAUCCUGCUGCACACAGAGCGGAAUGUUUGCUAGGCUCGCUCUUGAAAACAGAACUCCCAGCGGGACAGCUGCGGGUGAGCUGGAGGAGCCAGCAAAGGGACCAAGCGAGGGAUGAUGAUGAGUGGGUCACAUCCUCUCUGAUCUGUAAGAUGAAAGACACAAAGAUGUCUUAGGAAAAGCCUAUCAAACUAAGUUGUUCUUGUUACUACUAUGAUCAUGAUGGUGGUGAAUGUAGACUAUGGUCCCCAAAUACGCAGUCCCAAAGGCCAUAAUCCUAAGUGAUAAAAUAGCUCUAAAUUCUAAAACCCGGAAA